AUGGAUUGGAUCAUUGGUAAGAUAAUAGCUAAAAAGAUUCUUUAGCAGAAGCCUGAAACCAAAAUAGAAAAAUCACUUGGACACUGAAAACAUAAUCAAGUAAAUGCAUUACAAGGAGUUUAUUGCAAUUGCUGAUUUCCAGUAAAUGUUCUACUUUAAUCAACAAAAAUGUGUUCCACGUAUAGUGAAUAGUAACAUAUGUAAAAUGUCACUACCUUUUUUUCCCUGCGAAUUAAUCAUCAAUCAAUUAAGAAAAAAAAUGUUAGAUAUGCACAUAUGAAAUUGAACAUAUUAAUUUUACGAUCCUUACAAAGAGAAAAGCUUAAGAUCAUCUUAAUUACGAAGUAAUACUCUUUUGGGCAUUAAAGUUUGUGAACUAUACGUACAAAGAUUAGAGACAUGCAUGCAAGCCUCAAUCCGAAUUAUAUAUGUGUUUCACUUUUUAAAAUUUAUUUGUGAAAACUAGCAGAAAUGUAUAAUUCAAAUGUAUGAUAUGGAUUCUGAAUUAGGAGCUAACAGUGAGAAAUUUGCCAUUAAGCCAGGUUAUACUAGUGGUAUGUAAUACUAAUAGGUAACAAAAUUCAAAUAAUAAGAUAAAUUAAUGCAGGAUAAAAGAGAAAAGAAAAGGUCUCAGAAAACCCAAAGGGUCCAAGCAUAUUUCAACACUUAUUUAACCAUUCGGUAAUCAGUACCAUCUGGCCCGACUAAUCCGAAUUUUCAGAAUUCAAAUUCUAGGCAUAUGAACUCUGGUUGAGGGCGGAGUGAUCUCAACUAUUUCCAAAUUACUUACGUGAGUAGAAAACUGAGCAGGAUGUUCCAGCAGUCGUGCUCAUGGCUUGAUUCUGUUUGUUUCCUUCUCGAUAUCGUUGUGCAUUUCUUUUCUUUUUCCUCUCUAAUGACUGCUAGGGCGGCUCUAGGGUAGGGCAAGUGGUGAAACCCUUGCCUUAG
rnacentral:lncRNA from 1 species